CAGUAGCCGCGGUAAUACGUAGGUGGCAGGCGCUGUCCGGAAUUAUUGGGCGUAAAGGGCUCGCAGGCGGUUUCUUAAGUCUGAUGUGAAAGCCCCCGGCUCAACCGGGGAGGGUCAUUGGAAACUGGGAAACUUGAGUGCAGAAGAGGAGAGUGGAAUUCCACGUGUAGCGGUGAAAUGCGUAGAGAUGUGGAGGGACACCAGUGGCGAAGGCGACUCUCUGGUCUGUAACUGACGCUGAGGAGCGAAAGCGUGGGGAGCGAACAGAUUAGAUACCCCCGUAGUCCCUGUCUCUUAUACC
rnacentral:rRNA from 1 species